UCAUUAGCUAGUAGGCGAGGUAACGGCUCACCUAGGCAACGAUGAUUAGGGGUCCUGAGAGGGAGAUCCCCCACACUGGUACUGAGACACGGACCAGACUCCUACGGGAGGCAGCAGUGAGGAAUAUUGGACAAUGGUCGAAAGCCUGAUCCAGCAAUGCCGCGUGUGUGAAGAAGGCCUGCGGGUUGUAAAGCACUUUCAGUUGGGAAGAUGAUGACGUUACCAACAGAAGAAGCACCGGCUAAAUCCGUGCCAGCAGCCGCGGUAAUACGGAUGGUGCGAGCGUUAAUCGGAAUUACUGGGCGUAAAGCGCGCGUAGGUGGCUAAGUCAGUCAGAUGUGAAAGCCCCGGGCUCAACCUGGGAACUGACCUGAUACUGCUGGCUAGAGACAUAGAGGGGAGUGACUUCCGGGUAGCGGUAAAUGCGUCAGAUCGGAAGAACCCAGUGGGA
rnacentral:rRNA from 1 species